AACUGGUCACAAAAUCAUCAAGAAAUUAAAGUCCAAUUUUAUUAAGAAAUAAUUAAAUAAAAUGUCUUGGAAACCGUUCUACCGGUUGUUCUUUCCUCCUUUUGAUUGUAUGAUAUAAACUGUGGUCUAUUUAUCUAAAAUAAAUAUUAUUUAUUGAUUUGAUACUUUUGCAUGUUCUUUUAAAGACGUCAUUUUCCAUGCCUGCCAUAGAACCCCAAUGGAGUCAUGAACAUCUUAUAGGCUUGAAAAUAUUUGAACAUAAGAAAAAGAAAGAACAAAUAGUAGUUUGAGAAGGAAGUUAAAGAAUACAAUGAAGACCAUUUUUAAGAAAAAAAAUCACUGGAUUUUUAUAGAAAUAGCAAAAUAAGAUAACAUAAUGGAAAAUAGACCAAGAAAAAAACUCAGACCCUAGAUUGUUUAAACCCUGUGGUUCCAGUCGUGAAACAUCAAUUUACUAUUUAUGUGGUUUCAGUCACGGAUCAUCGAUUUACUUUUGACUCUGAUAAUAUGAUUAUUUGUUUUAAUGCUUUUCAUCAUUUAUCCAAUCCAAUUCUUUCUUGAUUUUAAAUAAUACUGCAAUUAUGUUUUCUUCUCUUUCUUUCAACAUUUUUUUUAUUUUUUUUAUGUUCUUUAUGUAAGUUAAUUUUAGAUUUUCUUAAUAAUGAAGGCGUGUCAGUCUUGAAUGUAAUACUAGAGUUUAUAAACAAUAUGAUUCAUUAAAUUUAUGCCAGGACCUUUUUGGAUAUUGCAUACAAUAAAUGAAGGGUGUGUCCGUCACAAUUCUUCCUUUUCUUUGUUUUUCUGUGUGGUUUCUAUUGACCUAUAAUAAAAUGGAUGGUUAGAA
rnacentral:lncRNA from 1 species